rnacentral:rRNA from 1 species
GACGAACGCUGGCGGCGUGCUUAACACAUGCAAGUCGAGCGGUAAGGCCCUUUCGGGGGUACGACGAGCGGCGAACGGGUGAGUAACACGUGGGUGACCUGCCCUCAGCUCUGGGAUAAGCCUGGGAAACUGGGUCUAAUACCGGAUAUGACUCCAUGACGCAUGUUGUGGGGUGGAAAGCCUUGUGCGGCUGAGGAUGGGCCCGCGGCCUAUCAGCUUGUUGGG